AUUGAACGCUGGCGGCAGGCCUAACACAUGCAAGUCGAACGGUAACAGGAAACAGCUUGCUGUUUCGCUGACGAGUGGCGGACGGGUGAGUAAUGUCUGGGAAACUGCCUGAUGGAGGGGGAUAACUACUGGAAACGGUAGCUAAUACCGCAUAACGUCGCAAGACCAAAGAGGGGGACCUUCGGGCCUCUUGCCAUCGGAUGUGCCCAGAUGGGAUUAGCUAGUAGGUGGGGUAACGGCUCACCUAGGCGACGAUCCCGAGCUGGUCUGAGAGGAUGACCAGCCACACUGGAACUGAGACACGGUCCAGACUCCUACGGGAGGCAGCAGUGGGGAAUAUUGCACAAUGGGCGCAAGCCUGAUGCAGCCAUGCCGCGUGUAUGAAGAAGGCCUUCGGGUUGUAAAGUACUUUCAGCGGGGAUGAAGGGAGUAAAGUUAAUACCUUUGCUCAUUGACGUUACCCGCAGAAGAAGCACCGGCUAACUCCGUG
rnacentral:rRNA from 1 species